AGUGAACGCUGGCGGCAGGCCUAACACAUGCAAGUCGAACGGCAGCACAGGAGAGCUUGCUCUCUGGGUGGCGAGUGGCGGACGGGUGAGGAAUAUAUCGGAAUCUACCCUUUCGUGGGGGAUAACGUAGGGAAACUUACGCUAAUACCGCAUACGAACUGAGGUUGAAAGCGGCGGACCGCAAGGCGUCGCGCGGAUGGAUGAGCCGAUAUCCGAUUAGCUAGUUGGCGGGGUAAAGGCCCACCAAGGCGACGAUCGGUAGCUGGUCUGAGAGGAUGAUCAGCCACACUGGAACUGAGACACGGUCCAGACUCCUACGGGAGGCAGCAGUGGGGAAUAUUGGACAAUGGGCGCAAGCCUGAUCCAGCCAUGCCGCGUGUGUGAAGAAGGCCUUCGGGUUGUAAAGCACUUUUGUUGGGAAAGAAAAGCGGUCGGUUAAUACCCGGUCGUUCUGACGGUACCCAAAGAAUAAGCACCGGCUAACUUCGUGCCAGCCGCCGCUGUAA
rnacentral:rRNA from 1 species